CCUAUAGCGUAUAUUAAAGUUGUUGCAGUUAAAAAGCUCGUAGUUGAAUUUCGGGGUUAGUAGGUUGGUCAUGCCUCUGGUAUGUACUGGUCUCACUGAUUCCUCCUUCCUGAUGAACCGUAAUGCCAUUAAUUUGGUGUUGCGGGGAAUUUGGACUGUUACUUUGAAAAAAUUAGAGUGUUUAAAGCAAGCUAACGCUUGAAUACAUUAGCAUGGAAUAAUGAAAUAGGACGUUCGAUCCUAUUUUGUUGGUUUCUAGGAUUGACGUAAUGAUUAAUAGGGAUAGUUGGGGGCAUUAGUAUUCAAUUGUCAGAGGUGAAAUUCUUGGAUUUAUUGAAGACUAACUACUGCGAAAGCAUUUGCCAAGGAUGUUUUCAUUAAUCAAGAACGAAAGUUAGGGGAUCGAAGACGAUCAGAUACCUUCGUAGUCUUAACCAUAAACUAUGCCGACUAGGGAUCGGAUGAUGUUAAUUUUUUAAUGACUCAUUCGGCGCCUUACG
rnacentral:rRNA from 1 species